rnacentral:snRNA from 1 species
AUUGUUGACUUAAAUGAUAUU